GGGGUUGUGGCUCAGUGGUACAGUGCUCGCCUAGCACGUGUGAGGCACUGAGUUAAACCUCAGCACCACCU
rnacentral:tRNA from 1 species